UACGUAGGGUGCGAGCGUUGUCCGGAAUUAUUGGGCGUAAAGAGCUCGUAGGCGGUGUGUCACGUCGGCCGUGAAAACCUGCAGCUUAACUGUGGGCGUGCGGUCGAUACGGGCAUCACUGGAGUUCGGCAGGGGAGACUGGAAUUCCUGGUGUAGCGGUGAAAUGCGCAGAUAUCAGGAGGAACACCGGUGGCGAAGGCGACUUCCUGGACCAAUACUGACGCUCAUGCACGAAAGCGUGGGGAGCAAACAGG
rnacentral:rRNA from 1 species